GAUGAACGCUGGCGGCGUGCUUAACACAUGCAAGUCGAACGGUGAAGGCGGAACUUUCUCUGCUGGAUGUUUGGCGCGCGGGUGAGUAACACGUGAGCAUACUGCCCCUGACUCUGGGAUAAGCGCUGGAGACGGCGUCUAAUACUGGAGACGAGCUUCUGAAGCACCUGGAGCAGCUGGGAAGAACGUCGGUCAGGGAUGGGUUGGCGGGCUAUCAGCUUGUUUGUGAAGUAACGGAUCACCAAGGCGUCGAAGGGUAGCCGGCCUGGGAGGGUGACCGGCCACACUGGGACUGAGAGAGGGCCCAGACGCGUACGGGAGGCAGCGGUGGAGAAUCUUACACAAUGGGCGCAAGCCUGAUGCAGCAGCGCCGCGUUAGGAACGACGGCCUUCGGGUUGAAAACCUCUGUUAACGGGGAAGAAGCGAAAGUGACGGUACCUGCAGAAAAAGCGCCGGCUAACUACGUG
rnacentral:rRNA from 1 species